rnacentral:rRNA from 1 species
UGUAGCUUGACAUUGGGUCUUGGUACUACAUGUACAGGAUAGGUGGGAGGCUUUGAAACCAGGACGCCAGUUUUGGCGGAGCCAUCCUUGGGAUACCACCCUUGUAGUACUGGGACUCUAACCAUAGGCCAUGAAGCUGGUCUUGGGACACUGUCAGGUGGGCAGUUUGACUGGGGCGGUCGCCUCCCAAAAGGUAACGGAGGCGCUCAAAGGUUCUCUCAGUACGGUCGGAAAUCGUACGUAGAGGGUAAAGGCAAAAGAGAGCUUGAUUGCAAGACAUACAGGUCGAGCAAGGAUGAAAAUCGGACUUAGUGAUCCGGUGGUUCUGCGUGGAAGGGCCAUCGCUCAACGGAUAAAAGCUACCCUGGGGAUAA